AAUCCCGGCCGGAGCCUGUUGUCGUAGCCGUCCAACAGCUUGUCGAGGAUCCGAGUGAUGUUUUCCGAGUAGAGGUCCCCCGCGUCGCCCUGGCCCCCCAGAGCCUUCUCCAUGCUGCAAGGAGAGGCGAGUCCCGCUGUCAGCCCCCGCUCCUCAGUCAGGCAGCCUCGCCUCAGCCCGGCCGGUCGCUCCUCGCCCCCUCACCUCAGUCCCGCCGGUCCCUCCUCGCACCCUCACCUCAGCCCUCCCGCCAAGCCCGCGGCCGUAGAGGAAGCGGCCCCCAGGGGCGAGCAGACGGGGAGAAAGGGCCCAGUCCCACCUCGCCACAAUCCUUGCGGGCUGUGGAUGGGCUGAGGGAGGGCUCUGGGGGCCGGCGGAGUGGGCUCGCUCACCUCACGGCCAUACAGAGCCAAGCGAUGAGCAAAGCCAUGCCUCGGGGCUGCGCGGGGACGCUCGGGUGCCGUCAGUGCCGUCAGCUGGAGCAAGUUUCGGCGCUCAUCCUCUCGGCCAGCCGCUCUGCCGGAAACUAUGCAGUAAGAGAGAGGUGGUUUCUACAAAGAAAAAAGUUCUUCCUCAAAUUUCAAGAAUCAGUGAACAUGGAUAUUUAAGUCUUGAGAUUCCUGCUUUUUUGGAGAAAGAUGCAUAUAUGAACGUGACGUCAACAGCUGGAUUCAAAAGUACUGGAACUUCCUAGCAAGGCAGCCACUGGUUUUGAAAUUUACUUCUGUUGUUGUUGUUACACCAGAAACCCAAUUUGGCUAAGUGUAGACUUCUUACCACAAUUGAUGUCUUUGUGCCCACUCUUUAUUAGGUACCAUAUUAU